UUUAGGUAGCUCAGUUGGUAGAGCAUAAGAUUGAAGCUCUUUGUGCCAUUGGUUCAAAUCCAAUCCUAAACAG
rnacentral:tRNA from 1 species